ensembl:misc_RNA
GAAAAAGCAGCUUUAUUGUUUCCAGGACCCUGUCCAGAGGAGUCACUCAAGCUCAGACAUUUCUUCCUCUUGUGUCCACUUGCCACGACUGUCUGACAAAGUGGGAGUCUGAGGUGGCUACUAGGUAGGACCAUUUGCAGAUCUCUGUGAUCAUUUGCCGAUCCUGCUACAGUGGGUAGCUCCUCCAGACAUCAUCAUGUUCUUCCAGUUCUACUGGGUGUACAAUGGUUCUCAAGAGAGAAUAUUCUGAGCUAUAGCAAA